UGAUUGUUAGGAAUGGAUAAAGUUACAGGGAAGAAUAUUUUUUCAAUAUUGACAGAACUUUUACAUCACAAUUAUGUCAUUAAUGUAAAAAAAAAAUCGUUUAAAAUAUAUUUUUCUAUUUAUAUCUGAUCAUUUAUAUAUGAGGGGUCACUACGAAAAACGAUCAUAGUCGUUUUUAAUAGUUUCUGUAAAAUCAUGAUUUUAAGGUUUAAAGUCGCAUUGUUUGAGGCGGUAGCUUAUAUCUAUUUCCCUUAUAUUCUCACAAACCUUAAUCUUUUCUUGCCGUUGCCGUUUAUAGUUUGAAACUAACUGACAACCUCUACAACAUGGAGCAUAUAUCCUAAUUUUGGCCAAAAUUGACAUUGAUUGUUUUUCGUAGUGACCCUUCAUAUACAUAAUUUUAUACAUUUAAAGGGGGUUUAACGCUAGUUCGCGUCCACAGGUAAUACUACAUGCGCACCCUGGGUAAGCUAAAGAACUAGCACAAGAGGCGCCAGACAAUAUUUCCAAAGAUCUCCUGGCAUAAGUAUAUCGCAGUUUUUUUUAGAAUAAUUAAAGAUGACACAGUUAAUGAAUGGACUUUCCAAGGAACAAAUUACGAAAGAAAUAGGACCCAAUGUAAGAGUUUGCCAAAUAAAAA
rnacentral:lncRNA from 1 species